GACCGAAUGGGUUUAUAUACCCGUGUACUCCUGGGAAUUUUCCGCAGGGGUAUUAUAUCCCCGUGUACUCCUGGGAUAUUGCCCGAAGUGGAAUUAGAUCCCCGAUGAACUAGUUGGUGUGGUAAGAGCGCACCAAGGCGACGAUCAGUAGCUGGUCUGAGAGGAUGAUCAGCCACACUGGGACUGAGACACGGCCCAGACUCCUACGGGAGGCAGCAGUGGGGAAUUUUCCGCAAUGGGCGAAAGCCUGACGGAGCAAUACCGCGUGAGGGAGGAAGGCUCUUGGGUUGUAAACCUCUUUUCUCAGGGAAUAAAAAAAUGAAGGUACCUGAGGAAUAAGCAUCGGCUAACUCCGUGCCAGCAGCCGCGGUAAUACGGAGGAUGCAAGCGUUAUCCGGAAUGAUUGGGCGUAAAGCGUCCGCAGGUGGCCUGUAAGUCUGCUGUUAAAGAGCAAGGCUCAACCUUGUAAAGGCAGUGGAAACUACGGAGCUAGAGUACGUACGGGACAAAAGGGAAUU
rnacentral:rRNA from 1 species